rfam:Brachypodium distachyon strain Bd21 chromosome 3, whole genome shotgun sequence.
AACAUACUCCCUCCGUCCAACAAAAGAUGUCUCAAAUUUGUCAAAAUUUGGAUGUAUCUAGACAUGACUUACUAUAUAGAUGCAUUUUAAUUUAGUUAAAGUUGAGACAUCCUUUGUUGGACGGAGGGAAUACUAG